rfam:Nicotiana sylvestris Nsyl_contig53591, whole genome shotgun sequence.
UUGCCUUAAACUAAUGAGUAAGGAAAACAAAGCGGACGGUGAGAGCCGGCCGCAGCGCUCGUCAAACAUUUUUGUGGCGCAAGAAUUUAUGGAGGGGUUAUAGGCUGGCCAAGUGUUGACGCUGCCUACUUCGCAGAACUCGCUUGUGCGGGCCUCCCAAACCC